CUACUCGGGUUGCCUCUGCUGUCAUUAGGAUCUAAGGCACCCUGCUGAGGCCGCGUUAUUGUAAAGGGACAGGCUGGUACGGACGCCCUGGCUGUCCUGGAACUCACUCUGUAGACCAGGCUGGCCUCGAACUCAGAAAUCCGCCUGCCUCUGCCUCCGGAGCGCCACCGCCCGGCUUGCCUAGCACAUUCUUGUUCCGUUAUUAUUUGCGGAAGAAAGGGAUAUGCACACAAUCCCCGCGGUUAUCUAAGUAGAGUUGAGGCAGGAAUGAAGAAAGAGGAACAGAUCUAAGGUGGGCUUCAGGAGGAAGGAACAAAGGUGACUUAGAUUUGGAUUACAUAUUGCUGUGAAAGAUAGGAAAGUGGCCAAUGUGCAGCGUGGUGAUCCCGGAGAGAUGGAGAGAAGAGAUUAUCUCGGUCCAAGGAGAUGGGUGUGUCCUGUGGGACAGUCAGGAAGAGGAGCCUGCUUUCCUGAGAUUUAUUUAUUAUUAUAUCUAAGUACACUGUAGCUGUCUUCAGAUACACCAGAAGAGGGCAUCAGAUCUCACUACCUUCGGAAGAGCAGUCGG
rnacentral:lncRNA from 1 species